GACGAACGCUGGCGGCGUGCUUAACACAUGCAAGUCGAACGGAGUGGCGAACGGGUGAGUAACACGUGGGUGAUCUGCCCUGCACUUCGGGAUAAGCUUGGGAAACUGGGUCUAAUACCGGAUAGUGCAAGAUGAGCUCGCGGCCUAUCAGCUUGUUGGUGGGGUAAUGGCCUACCCAGGCGUCGACGGGUAGCCGGCCUGAGAGGGUCUACGGGCACAUUGGGACUGGGAUACGGCCCAGACCCCUACGGGGGGCAGCAGUGGGGAUUAUUGCACAAUGGGCGGAGGCCUGAUGCAGUGACGCCGGGUGGGGGAUAAAGGCCUUCGGGUUAUAAACUCCUUUCGACAGAGACGCGGUACCUGUAUAAGAAGCACCGGCUAACUACGUGCCAGCAGCCGCGGUAAUUC
rnacentral:rRNA from 1 species